UGGGGAAUAUUGCGCAAUGGGCGAAAGCCUGACGCAGCCACGCCGCGUGAGUGAUGAAGGCCUUCGGGUUGUAAAGCUCUGUCGGGAGGGACGAAGGGAGCAAUCUCUGACGGUACCUCGCAAGAAAGCACCGGCUAACUCUGUGCCAGCAGCCGCGGUAAUACAGAGGGUGCAAGCGUUGCUCGGAUUUACUGGGCGUAAAGCGUACGCAGACGGCUUGGUAGGUCGAAUGUGAAAGCCCCGGGCUCAACCCGGGAAAUGCAUUCGAAACCACCUCGCUCGAGUGUGGGAGAGGGAAGCGGAAUUCCUGGUGUAGAGGUGAAAUUCGUAGAUAUCAGGAGGAACACCGGCGGCGAAGGCGGCUUCCUGGCCCAUUACUGACGUUCAGGUACGAAAGCGUGGGUAGCAAACAGG
rnacentral:rRNA from 1 species